ACCUUGAAAUACCACCCUUUAAUGUUUGAUGUUCUAACGUGGACCCGUAAUCCGGGUUGCGGACAGUGUCUGGUGGGUAGUUUGACUGGGGCGGUCUCCUCCUAAAGAGUAACGGAGGAGCACGAAGGUUGGCUAAUCCUGGUCGGACAUCAGGAGGUUAGUGCAAUGGCAUAAGCCAGCUUGACUGCGAGCGUGACGGCGCGAGCAGGUGCGAAAGCAGGUCAUAGUGAUCCGGUGGUUCUGAAUGGAAGGGCCAUCGCUCAACGGAUAAAAGGUACUCCGGGGAUAACAGGCUGAUACCGCCCAAGAGUUCAUAUCGACGGCGGUGUUUGGCACCUCGAUGUCGGCUCAUCACAUCCUGGGGCUGAAGUAGGUCCCAAGGGUAUGGCUGUUCGCCAUUUAAAGUGGUACGCGAGCUGGGUUUAGAACGUCGUGAGACAGUUCGGUCCCUAUCUGCCGUGGGCGCUGGAGAACUGAGGGGGGCUGCUCCUAGUACGAGAGGACCGGAGUGGACGCAUCACUGGUGUUCGGGUUGUCAUGCCAAUGGCACUGCCCGGUAGCUAAAUGCGGAAGAGAUAAGUGCUGAAAGCAUCUAAGCACGAAACUUGCCCCGAGAUGAGUUCUCCCUGAGACUUAGAGUCUCCUGAAGGAACGUUGAAGACGACGACGUUGAUAGGCCGGGUGUGUAAGCGCAGCGAUGCGUUGAGCUAACCGGUACUAAUGAACCGUGAGGCUUAACCUUACAACGCCGAA
rnacentral:rRNA from 1 species